rnacentral:rRNA from 1 species
AUUGAACGCUGGCGGCAGGCCUAACACAUGCAAGUCGAACGAGCGGCGGACGGGUGAGUAAUGUCUGGGAAAUUGCCUGAUGGAGGGGGCUAACUACUGGAAACGGUAGCUAAUACCGCAUACCAUCAGAUGUGCCCAGAUGGGAUUGGCUAGUAGGUGGGGUGACGGCUCACCUAGGCGACGAUCCCUAGCUGGUCUGGGAGGAUGACCAGGCACAAUGGAACUGAGACACGGUCCAGACUCCUACGGGAGGCAGCAGUGGGGAAUAUUGGACGAUGGGCGCAAGCCGGAUGCAGCAAUGCCGCGUGUGUGAAGAAGGCCUGCGGGUUGUAAAGCACUUUCAGCGGGGAGGCGUUACCCGCAGAAGAAGCACCGGCUAACUCCGUGCCAGCAGCCGCGGUAAUAC